rnacentral:rRNA from 1 species
GAUGAACGCUGGCGGCGUGCCUAAUACAUGCAAGUCGAGCGAAUGGAUUAAGAGCUUGCUCUUAUGAAGUUAGCGGCGGACGGGUGAGUAACACGUGGGUAACCUGCCCAUAAGACUGGGAUAACUCCGGGAAACCGGGGCUAAUACCGGAUAACAUUUUGAACCGCAUGGUUCGAAAUUGAAAGGCGGCUUCGGCUGUCACUUAUGGAUGGACCCGCGUCGCAUUAGCUAGUUGGUGAGGUAACGGCUCACCAAGGCAACGAUGCGUAGCCGACCUGAGAGGGUGAGCGGCCACACUGGGACUGAGACGCGGCCCAGACGCCUACGGGAGGUAGCAGUAGGGAAUCUUCCGCAAUGGACGAAAGUCUGACGGAGCAACGCCGCGUGAGUGAUGAAGGCUUUCGGGUCGUAAAACUCUGUUGUUAGGGAAGAACAAGUGCUAGUUGAAUAAGCUGGCACCUUGACGGUACCUAACCAGAAAGCCACGGCUAACUACGUGCCAGCCGCCGCAGUAA